AGCCUUGAUGGAGUGAAAAAUUCCUUCAGUGUCACCAAGAUGUAGAUCAUCUUUAGAUGUCUGAUCCUUGAUAAGUACCAAACUUCCUAUUGAAUGGUAGAAGUCAAGCAACAAACUAGCACUGCUGACAGCAGCUUGAAUUUUUGAAACAACGCCCUCAAAAACUUCCUCACUUAUCUCACAUUUUAAUAUUCCAUUCACUUUUAAAGCAUAAAACAAAUCCUUUGAUACUGAAGAUGACGNCGGGUUUCCAUUACAGAACGGCAAGCUGGUAAACUUAUGUCCGGCUUUUUAUCAAGUCCAAGAACCUCAAAUGUCCGAAGGGCCUCAAAUGUUUCUUCUAAACUUCUAAAGGACCCAUCAAGAGGCGUGAAAAGCUCCAAAGCGGCAGAUCGGUGGG
rnacentral:misc_RNA from 1 species